UACGAAGGGGGCUAGCGUUGUUCGGAUUUACUGGGCGUAAAGCGCACGUAGGCGGAUUGGUCAGUUAGGGGUGAAAUCCUGGAGCUCAACUCCAGAACUGCCUUUAAUACGGCCAGUCUCGAGUCCGGAAGAGGUAAGUGGAACUCCUAGUGUAGAGGUGGAAUUCGUAGAUAUUAGGAAGAACACCAGUGGCGAAGGCGGCUUACUGGUCCGGUACUGACGCUGAGGUGCGAAAGCGUGGGGAGCAAACAGG
rnacentral:rRNA from 1 species